CCUACGGGAGGCAGCAGUAGGGAAUCUUUCACAAUGAGCGAAAGCCUGAUGGAGCAACGCCGCGUGCAGGAUGAAGGCCUUCGGGUUGUAAACUGCUUUUAUAAGCGAGAAAUAUGAUGGUAACUUAUGAAUAAGGAUCGGCUAACUACGUGCCAGCAGCCGCGGUCAUACGUAGGAUCCGAGCAUUAUCCGGAGUGACUGGGUGUAAAGAGUUGCGUAGGUGGCAUAAUAAGUAGCUAGUGAAAUCUGGUGGCUCAACCAUUCAGACUAUUAGCUAAACUGUUAAGCUCGAGACCGUUAGGGGUAACUGGAAUUUCUAGUGUAGGAGUGAAAUCCGUAGAUAUUAGAAGGAACACCAAUAGCGUAGGCAGGUUGCUGGGACGGUUCUGACACUAAGGCACGAAAGCGUAGGGAGCAAACGGGAUUAGAUACCCCAGUAGUC
rnacentral:rRNA from 1 species